GUGGGGAAUAUUGGACAAUGGGCGCAAGCCUGAUCCAGCCAUGCCGCGUGAGUGAUGAAGGCCCUAGGGUUGUAAAGCUCUUUCACCGGUGAAGAUAAUGACGGUAACCGGAGAAGAAGCCCCGGCUAACUUCGUGCCAGCAGCCGCGGUAAUACGAAGGGGGCUAGCGUUGUUCGGAAUUACUGGGCGUAAAGCGUACGUAGGCGGAUAUUUAAGUCAGGGGUGAAAUCCCAGAGCUCAACUCUGGAACUGCCUUUGAUACUGUGUAUCUUGAGUAUUGAAGAGGUGAGAGGAAUUCCGGGUGUAGAGGUGAAAUUCGUAUAUAUUCGGAGGAACACCAGUGGCGAAUGCGACUCACUGGUCCAUUACUGACGCUGAGGUGCGAAAGCGUGGGGAGCAAACAGGAUUAGAAACCCCGGUAGUCC
rnacentral:rRNA from 1 species